rnacentral:tRNA from 1 species
UUUAGUAGAAGCCAAAAAAUAGGCAUUUUAUUGUUAAUAAAAAAAUUGAAUUAUAAUUCCUAUUAAAA